rnacentral:lncRNA from 1 species
CAACAAUAAGAUAGCAUGGAAAUUAAAAUGCAAGAAAACCAAGUGAAGUAAAAAUUCAUGUGACCCGCGAGUUAAAGCCACUUAUUUCAGAAAUGCGCCUUGAUUAGGGGAUGGAACUCAAGUAGUUACCCUCCAUUCAGCCAUUUGGCUGCUAAGUCAUUCAACUUGUUCUCUUGCCCUGUGAAAUGUGCUUAUCGUCAAUUGUCGCCAGAUCAGAGGUGGUGGUGGUGAUAAGCUUCUGAGCCUCAAUGUCUUUUCGGGGUCAAAACUCCCAGAGGGAUCUUAUGAGCCAGGGUAUCAAGGAGGAAUUGUAAGGGCAAAACUGCCAUUUUCAGAGACCAAAUUUCCCACCAGCAGGUGAAGACAGAAAUGGGACUCUAGGAAGCCCUUCUCAGGCUAGAGUCAGGAAUUUGACUAUUUCCUGCAUGGCUUAGCAGACCCGAACAGGGUAGAUUUCAGCUGCUCCAUUUUAACAGAAGCAUUUUGGCCCUAUAGAUGUCAGUGGAUUUUAUAGGCAUGGAUUUCCCCCCUUUGUAUCAGACCCCUAGAAGGCGUGACCAUACCAGAGCUAAAGAACAAGGCUGAGCGGUUCCUUGGCUGGUGGAGGGCAGUGAUUUCAAAGGGAAGCCACCCGGAGUCAGAGAUCUUCCUUUCCUUUAGGGGUAUGUGCUUUUCAGGUUUGUUUAUUACAUUUGAAAACCAACUGAAACAUCAGCUUAUGCAUUAGACCAAGGAAUAAAAGGUAAUAUUUUAACAUGCUAAAGGAAUUCUGCCAGCCAGUCAUAAGUAUCAAUCCAUCACAAUUAUUAGAAACAAUGUACUCUGCAGUAGUAAAGAGAUACAGCCAAUAUGCAGGCACACACUAAAUAAAUUCCCUGUUAGACGGGCUGUUUCCUCCCCUGCCCAGGCAAAGCACAGAAACUGCUUGCACAAAAGAAAAAACGUGAAGAGAGGUAAAACUCAACAUCACACAUUUUGGGGGGUUUGGUUUCAGUUACUCCUCUGUCUCCAAAUAGAGCUUAUGUCAGCACCCAGUUUCCCUCUUCAAAACACAGAUUGGCCCUGGAUCUGGUGAUUCAAUAUAUACAGAAUACGAUUAGAAUACGCCACUGGGGAGAAAGAAACAAGGGGUGGGUUGGAGAGGCAAUUGAUUCAACCCAGAAAAAGGGACCUCAUCGAUGUGUGGAUGCACACACAGACGGCCACUCUUGCUUCUAUGCGCUCUCCUUUCGUUUCCAGCCCUAUCUUCAUUAGCAGAGAGAAGGCUGGAGGCAGCCCCUCUUUCCUGCAGCCAUUUGCUUUACGUAAACCAGCUAGCAAACCGCUCCCGUUCGUAUUGAUGUAGACAUUACCGCAAAUCGCCACUUAGGGACCUGAACGAAUUGACUAACUGGUUUCAGAUCCAAUACACAUAACUUGAUCAGACACAAAGUUUAAGUACACUUGCAGGCGUGCCAACUGCACCUACCGGGAAGUGACUCUUUGGCUGCCAGUUUAAAGAGGCCCUAAGGGACCCUGGGAGGAAGGCACACAGACCUAGAGGUGAGGCAGCUAGUCUGGAGGUUUCAAGAAGAACAGCCCAGGGUGGAAAGAGAUAAGGCAUUCUGGGCAGGAAGCAAGGCAGUUUCAAAAGCCACAUGGACACUUCAGUCCAGAGCGCGCUUGAUACAAGCUUCAUUAAUCUGGCUUUUUAUCCUCCCUUCCGGUGGCUCUGAGGUCUGGGAAACGGAGUGUCAGAUGACAUGAGAGAUGACUGCAUUCAGAUCAGAGAAAUCUCAGCUGGCCAGGGCUCACCUGCUUGUGCAUCUGCCCAUCAGGCUGCCAGGUACCCAGGAACAAUGGCCUUUGAGUUCAUUGUCUUCCCAAUAGCCAGGAAAUCACCUGUGUAGAGCUGGGCAAAGCGCUGGAGAAGAAUGAACAGCACUGACCCUGGAGGCCAAGACUGGUCUGUGGUAUGGCUGGAGCUGAGGACCAUGUGAGCCUGUUCUUACCCUGGACAGUGGACCAGCCUGGCAGUCUGUUAUUGCCUUAACUGAUUCUCCCUCCUUUGGGAUAUACGCUUUUGGUUUUGCCAUUCUCCUUGGGAGUGGGAAUACUGCUUUCCUGUGACAUGCAGCUUUCCCUCGGAAUAUCAUGUGAUAGAAUUUACAAGGUUUGAUGUGCAAGUGGAGGAACGGGUUGGACUUGUAGCUAUAGAAACUUCUAGAAAAAAAAAAGAAUAAGUGAGAAAAAUCUGUCACCUUAACUGAUGUGCAUAAAUCUGUGUGCAUAUGCGUGUGUGUGUGGUGGCGAGGGGGCAAUACUGAUAGUGGUGAACCAGAUAGGAUCCUGGCAAGACAGGAAUACAGUCUGUAGAAACAGGUGAGGCCAACAGCUGCAAAACAAUAGGUGACUCAGGAGAGGCUGAAAGUCAGAACAAAAUAGAGAGGAGGGGUCGAUGGCAGGGAGAGAAGUAGUUAUGGGUAGUUCUCAAGAAGGAUCAUACAUAUUAGCAAGAAGCCUUUAAAAUUUGAAAGAAUAAUCCUGGUUUAAGUAGAGAAAAAAAUAUUUGUUACUUCAGUUUCUAGUGUGUAUAUUAUUAUAUGUAUAUUUCAUAUUUCAUUAUUUUUUUUUACUCAGUCAUUUAGUGUGUCCUUAUUGACCACCUGCUGUGUAUUGAUAGCAUUAUGGAUACCGUGAGACAUAACACAGACAUGGUUGGCAACCAAGUAGAGUUUACAAGCUCACAACAGUUGUCUAGAAGCAGGUUACUGAAGGCUUAAGGCAUUUGGCGGUGAAGGCCCACUCCUUACAAAUUGAAAUAAUUUACUGUUAAAGGUGAUUUUUAAAAUGAUAUAAUAAUAAUAAGAGUAAAUAAUGGUGAAACAUGUUGAACACCUAUCGUGCCCAGGAACCAUGCUGGGGCACCUCUCUAUAUUGCAUCAUUUAAUCCUCAUAACCAUUUUAUAAGGGAGAGGUUUUUGGUGCCAUUUUACAUUUGUGGCUUAGAGAGCUUGAGGUCCAUCCCACAUGUUAUGCAGGAAGGUGUGGGUUUCAAAUUUAGGCAUCUCUGAUCCCAUAUCCUUCACUCACUCUGCUCUGCCAAGCAGCUUCCCUGGUGGCAAUGCAGAAGCCAGGGUGGAGAGAGACUGGUAUUAGGGAAACCAACAAAGGGAAUGGGAAUGUCAUUAUUCCAUGAGAAGAAUGAUGAACAUACAAGGAGAUGUGACGUGUGUAAGUGACAAGGGAGUAGGAGACGUGCAUCGGGUUCAGUAGUCUUUGCAAAGCUCUCCACAGGAUCAGGAGGCAUGUGGAACUGUGAAGUGGGGGGAGUUGGGAAUAGCCCUUUAAGGUAUCCAGCUUGGGUGACUGGAAGGGUAGGUCGGUGAUACUAGAAAAGGUGGUUGGGGGUUGGAGUCAGAGGCAAGAGAUGGUGAUGAAUUUCCUUUUGAAUGGGCUUCAUGUAAGGAGGUAGAUUAGAUAUUCACAUAAACGUAACUAAUGGUAUUUGGGUACAUGGCAUUUGAGAGAGGUUAAAGUUAGGUAUACAGACCUGGGAACCAGCAACAAAAGAACCAAGGAAGCAGGAAUAAGGGGCCAAAAACAAGCAAUUGUCCUGGCUACUUUGUUCACACACACUCAAUGAGCACGUCAGGCAUUUCAUGGACCAGCAGGUAGACAAGUGUUUCUCAACCUCAAUGCCAUGGAGAAUGUGGGCCAAGUAAUUCAUGGCUAUGAGCAGCUGUCUUAUGCACUAUGGGAUUUUAGCAGCAUCCUUGGCCUUUACCCACAAGAUCCCAGGAGCACCUCACCCUCCCGUUGUCGUGAUAGACAAAAAUGUCUUUGGACACUGCCAAAUGUCCUGUGAGGGGCAAAAUUACCCCCAGUUGGAAACCACUGAGGUAAACCAAAGAGUUCUCAUUAGUCUAUCUAUAAGCAUGCAUAUUAUGAUACACAUAUAUGUGUAUAACUUCUUUAUACAUAUCAUGUACACCUGUGCUGCUUUUCUAGUCUAUGGGAUUCGGUGCUACUCUUGUAAUCACACACACAAUGGCAAUGACUCUGAUAUGAAGUGGUCAGAAUACUGAAUAUUUCUAAAUGCUGUGGCACCAGUCACUUGCCCAUAAGUUGAAACCUUUUGAAGCAUAUUUGAAAUCACUUAAUUAUACAAUUUUAUUGCAGGCUUGUGUCAAACAAAGACAGGUGGUGCUCACAACUACCCAUGUGCUCCUUUAUAUUUAAUCAAACAGUUGAGUUAGAGUCAGGUGACUAGUUCAUUCAGUGAGUUGGGGAGAGAGAAAUUGACAUGUAUCACUUCUAGGCUGAAAUAGAUAAAAGCCAGGUGUCUUUUCCAUCUCUCUUGCCCUGACACUAUAGCAUCAGAAGCCAUAUUCCAGAUGAUUUAGCUUCCAGAUGGCAGAGGGCUGCCUGAACCACAUGUGACUUGGUAUGGAUAUGAUGUAUCAAGUCACUAAGUCUUGGAGGUUUCUUUGUUACCACAGCAGAGCUUAGCUUUACCCUGAUUAACAGAAAUCCUGUUAGUGUAGAAGGUAAAGGAAUAAAAAUUUAAUGUGGUUUUGUGAAAUGUAUAACUACUUUAUUGGAACAUAACAACCAUGAAUAGAAACUGUACCUAAUAGAAUAGUAAGAUAAAUAUUAGUCAUGCUGAGAAGUCUAACAUAUUAUAUAUUCAGUCAAAGAGACAUCAGUUAGCUGUCAUCUCCGUAGUUUCCUGGUUCCAGUGGAACUGGUCUUAUUUAACACAACAUGAUUCUGUUAAAUGGAGCUUGUGUCAGUGAAAGGUGGAAUUAUGCAACAUACCAAUUCAGUCUUGAUUUCAGAUGUAUCCUGUGCACUUUGAAAUGAAUUUCCACAUUGUUUAAAUCACAAUAAAUUUUCACUGGCAUGAACAUUAAGGGAACCACCUAUGGAUUUUUGUCCUGUGCAUUUAAAAAUUUUACAAUAGGAAUUGGGCAAAACUUCACAACUCCGUGUUAUUAAAAAUAUGAAAAGCUUCAUAUAUUUGGAUGAAGCAACUGAUGUUAUUCCUCCAUUCUGAAUGGCAGCGGAAUUCUUAAUGAAAUUGCUAGCAUGUUGGUUGAUGAUGUUUUUGUUAAGUCAGAUUUAAGGUGCAAAAUAUAAAGAUUUAAAGAUACAGGUAUUUAAAUAACUGCAAUGGGAUUUUGUGGGAAUUGGUUAUACAACAGAAAUUGCUAACAGUUACAUAAAUGGUGCAUCUCAUGUAUUUAUAAUUUAUAAGAUGUUUUUCAUAUUUAUAUAACAUUAAUAGAGAUGCUAUGUCAUUUUUUGAUUUUAUUAAAAUGCAGUUCAGAUAAAUUUUGAUACUGUGGAACACAAGAUUUCCAUGAUUGAUGCCUGCUCUUAAAAGAAUGCUGAUAUUAUGGCAAUUACCAUAAGCUUUUGUUUUAUUUGGUUGAAAAAAAAUCUGAAAAAAAUGUUUUACGCAUUCUGAAUCAAAACUUUAGUCCUUUUAUAAAAGUAUUUUCCACAUAGUUCUAUUCUUAAGAAAGAGUAAAUUAUAUUGAAGUCAUAGAUUAUUUGUGAAUAUUCUUCCCUUAGAACCAAAUUUAAAAGAAGGAAAGAUUCCUAAGAUAAUGCUGCUUAAAGUAAGAAAGUUGUAGAAGAAAUCUACUAAUAGCAGUAUUUGUUGCUAUUUGGAUUCAGUGCAUCUGUUGGGUACCAAAGGUGUAUAAUGUUAAUUGUUGAAUUAUUCCAGGGCUUUAAAAAGCACAUCUCACUGCUUUUAUGAAUUAUGCUGGAUUCAGUUGGAAAAAAGCCCUAAGUGGAAUGAUCUGGAGAAGAUAUGGAAUUAUUUCUACGUUGCUCAUUUCACUUUGUCAUAGAAUGAUCUUUUUAAUGAACUUCCAGUUCUUAAAUCAUAUCUUAAUGAGAGCUUGCUAGCCAGAUGGGAUAGAAAUAAAGAUCAGAUAUAGUUGAAUGUAUAUAUAGAUUUUCAUCAGGAAUACAUUAGAAUCCCAAACAUUAGGAAGGUACAGAACUUCCUUCUCUCCUUGCCAGUUUCAAAAGCUGGGAUCAAGAGGGCAUCUUCUGUAGAUAAUACACCUUAGGUAUCAGAGAAAGUAUAUAGUAUUCAAAUGAUGGAAUAUUUCUGGAUAAUCUAGGUUAAUUACUCAGAACCUUUAAGAAAUACAAAGAACAAAAUAACUGCUGAAAAUAACAUAAAGAGUUUGCUGUGUAUUAGAUACUGUGCUAAAUACUUUGGUGUAUGCUUUUAUUUAAUCAUCACAACAACCAUAUGAGAUAGAUACUAUUAUUAUCUCUGUUUAACAAUAAGGAAACUGAUGUUGAGUAAAUUGCCCAGAAACAUCCACCAGUGGGCAUUUAAUCUGACAUUUGCUUCUAGAACAGUUACUCCUAGUCACCAUUCCGCCUUGGCCCCUAACAACUGGGCACACAAUUGGACAUCAACUUCAGUCGUGGAUAGUGUGAUGGAAAUGAAAAACUAAUGUCUAGGCUAACAGAAAACUUUUGCUGGGUUUUGUGUGCCUGUUAUGCAGCUUUAUUCUCUGGGCAUCCCAUGCUUUCCUAAAUCAUAGUCAGUCUGCCUAGAAUGGGGAAAGCUUGAUCAGUGAACCUUUUCCCAGUGAAGUCAAAAUAUCAUCCUUCCCCUCCUUGUUUUCUUGCUCCAACAGGAUCCUAGGAGGCAGCCACUGAGAUUUGUCUGCUCUGUCCAUCCGUGUCAAUAUUAACUGCUACUCUAUUAUCCCUGUGGUUCCUCCAGUGUGGGCUGGCCUUCCUGUGGUCUGUCAUUUGGCCAUGAGAUCCCUGCCGAUGUGGGCUCUUUUAUUCUUUCUAUCCUUUUGGACUUCCCUUAACCCCACUCCAACCACUGCUGGGCCAUGUUGUUUUUCUGAUCACUGCCAUCAUGGGCUGUCUCUCCAUCCUUUGCCUCCCUCAUGGCUCCUGUCCUCAGUCUGCCAUGAUAUUGUUAAAAUCCUGAACAGGCAGCCCUAAAAGAUGGCCCCAUUCUUUUAACUUUCUUUAAGUGUUUGCAGCUCUUACAUCUGUUCCCAAAAGAGUGGCUCUGUUCUCUCAAGUUCGUCUAGGCAUCUCUUGAGGAUCUUUUAUCAGCUAUCUACUGCUGAGUACAAAUCACCCCCAAAUUAGAAGCUUAAGACAAAAAUGAUACAGUAGCCCAGUCUUCUGAAGGUGGACCAUUUGGGCUGGGCUCAGCUGAGAAAGCUCAUUUAUGUCCCUCAUAGUGAUGGCUGGGCCCAGUUUCAUGUCUGGGAUUUCAGCUGGAUCAACCAGAAGAGCUGGACCUUUCUCCCCAUUUGAUCUGUCACCCUCAAGGGGGCUAGCGUAGUUUCACAUGGUGCUGGAAAGAUUCCCAGCAAGUAGCAAGAGAAUACAGACUCCAGUGUGUAAACACUUUUUAAAACUUCUGCUUGAAUCACAUUUGCUAAAGUCCCAUUGGCCAAAGUCACACGAUCAACCCCAGAAUGAAUGCAACAGGGUCUACAUAAUCAUGAGGAUACACAAAGAUGUGCUUCAUCGGGCCACUGUAUCACAGACCUCAAUAAAAGUUGUCUUGGAAUUGGUUCAGAAGUCUUUUGAGUGACUCUGCCCUCUAAUACCAAACCCAAUUUGCCCACCAUCAACUAAAAUCCUUAGUUUGAUUUUCAAGGCUCUCACCACUGUGGCUUUUUUCUAAAAUUAUCUUUUUAUAAACCACUUCAGGAAUCCUCUACUCCAGCCACUGUUCCUAUUCACUGUCUUGUCCCAUUUCCUCAAGGUCAAACCCUUGCUCUUUCUAAAUAGUAAGCUAUUUCAGCUUAUGGAACACUAUUCUUCUACCAAACUCCAAUCUCCAGUCCCAUUUCCCAUCAUUUCAUUUUUGCUAUUGCUGUCAUCUCAUAAGCCUUAUUUUUCUGAGUAGGUCUUAUGCCCUAACAUAUAUACACCUAAGAUAUAAAUACUCAGUAACCUGCACUGAAUUGGACUUAUGGUGAAAGGAAUUUGCCUCGGGGUUUUUGAAUUCCCAGCAAGGGUUGAAGUGGUCUUGUUCUGGGUUAUGGGGAAAGCAUGAGAUCCUGAAGUGUACAGAGCAGGGCACAGCACACUGAAGGACAGAUUCUUUGCAACAUUCAAGAUAAAAAUGAAUUCUAUUUCUAAAAAGAAAAAAUAGAGAAGAGAGGCCCUCAUUCAGCAGGAAGCAAGGAAGGUUCUUGGCUAGAGUGAAAACUCCAUGACAAAAUCCAUGUGGUCAACAAGCAUUGUGGAGUUAAUUUGGUAUUUGGAAGGCAUGUGAGUCUGUCUUUACACUGGGGGCUCCCUGGGAUUCUGGAAUUGAUUGGCUUCCCUGGCAAUGCCAAAUUUGUUUUCCCAGAUGCACAAAGAGGUAGAGAAGUAUGAGCAGGUAACACUCACUGCAGCUCUUGGGUAAUCAACUAAGCUCUUGGAUAAUCACAUGGCAUUUAUUCAGCACAUGUUCAUGGCUCAACUACUAUGUGGCAGAGCCACGCUAGGAACUAUGGCACAAGGUGAACAAGAAAGGGAUGGCCCUGCUCUCAAGGAACUCACAGCCUCAGUAAAGUGAUCCCUUAGCAAACUUUGUGACAAAUUCCAGCACUUGGCACUGUGAAGGGGGCUUACCCCAGGCUUGGGAGGUCAGUUAAGGCUGCCGGAGGAAGUAGCAUCCUAGCAGAGUGCUGAGGAAGAAGAUACGGAUAAGUCAGCCUGAGGGGUGUGUGUGUGUGUGUGUGUGUCCAUGUCCAUGUGUGCACCUGCAGGUACUUGUGUGACGGAGUAGAGCAAUAGACAGGGGCAUCCUCCUGGGUAGAGGAGUAAUUUGUGUGGAAGUAAGAGAUGAGAGAAAGCACACUGGGUUCUGGAUGCUGACAUGCCUUCAGUGUGGUUGGAUUUCUGAGGAAGGAAGAGAAAUCGGUCAUGCUGGAGGGCAACCAGGAGCCUGGUCAGCCACGCCAAGGGGCAGAGCCAAAACAAAAGCUUAAAUACAAUCACAAAAUGCAAGGACAUUUUCAUCCAAAACAUAUUUUUCUUGGAGUUCCCAUGGUGGUGCAGUGGAAAAAAAUAAAUCUGACUAGCAUCCAUGAGGAUGUAGGUUCAUCCCCUGGCCUCACUCAGUGGGUUGAGAAUCCCAGCAUUGCCCUGAGCUGUGGUGUAGGUCGCAGACAUGGCUCAGAUCUGGUGUGGCUGUGGCUGUGGCUAUGGUUUAGGCUGGCAGCUGCAGCUCUAAUUUGACCCCUAGCGUGGGAACUUCUAUAUGCCGUGG